UUGAUCCCUGGCUCAGGAUGAACGCUAGCGGCAGGCUUAACACAUGCAAGUCGAGGGGAAUUGGUCUUCGGACCAAGAGACCGGCGCACGGGUGCGUAACGCGUAUGCAAUCUACCUUUUGCAGAGGGAUAGCCCAGAGAAAUUUGGAUUAAUACCUCAUAGUAUAGCAGUUUCGCAUGAAACCACUAUUAAAGUCACAACGGCAAAAGAUGAGCAUGCGUCCCAUUAGCUAGUUGGUAAGGUAACGGCUUACCAAGGCUACGAUGGGUAGGGGUCCUGAGAGGGAGAUCCCCCACACUGGUACUGAGACACGGACCAGACUCCUACGGGAGGCAGCAGUGAGGAAUAUUGGACAAUGGGCGCAAGCCUGAUCCAGCCAUGCCGCGUGCAGGAUGACGGUCCUAUGGAUUGUAAACUGCUUUUGUACAGGAAGAAACACUCCCUCGUGAGGGAGCUUGACGGUACUGUAAGAAUAAGGAUCGGCUAACUC
rnacentral:rRNA from 1 species